CAGCCGCCGCGGGAAUACGUAGGUGGCAAGCGUUGUCCGGAAUUAUUGGGCGUAAAGGGCUCGCAGGCGGUCUCUUAAGUCUGAUGUGAAAGCCCCCGGCUCAACCGGGGAGGGUCAUUGGAAACUGGGAAACUUGAGUGCAGAAGAGGAGAGUGGAAUUCCACGUGUAGCGGUGAAAUGCGUAGAGAUGUGGAGGAACACCAGUGGCGAAGGCGACUCUCUGGUCUGUAACUGACGCUGAGGAGCGAAAGCGUGGGGAGCGAACAGGAUUAGAUACCCCCGUAGUCCCUGUCUCUUAUAC
rnacentral:rRNA from 1 species